GUGAGGAAUAUUGCGCAAUGGAGGCAACUCUGACGCAGCCAUGCCGCGUGCAGGAAGAAGGCGCUACGCGUUGUAAACUGCUUUUAACCGGGAAGAAACCCCAGGACGUGUCCUGGGUUGACGGUACCGGAGGAAUAAGCACCGGCUAACUUCGUGCCAGCAGCAGCGGUAAUACGAAGGGUGCAAGCGUUAUCCGGAUUCAUUGGGUUUAAAGGGUGCGUAGGCGGAGCGUUAAGUCAGUGGUGAAAUCCUGCAGCUUAACUGUAGACUUGCAAUUGAUACUGGCGCUCUUGAGUGCGCUUGAAGUGGGCGGAAUGUGCCGUGUAGCGGUGAAAUGCUUAGAUAUGGCACAGAACACCAAUUGCGAAGGCAGCUCACUAAGGCGAUACUGACGCUGAGGCACGAAAGCGUGGGGAUCGAACAGGAUUAGAAACCCCUGUAGUCC
rnacentral:rRNA from 1 species